CCUACGGGCGUCAGCAGUGAGGAAUAUUGGUCAAUGGGCGUAAGCCUGAACCAGCCAAGUCGCGUGAGGGAUGAAGGUUCUAUGGAUCGUAAACCUCUUUUAUAAGGGAAUAAAGUGCGGGACGUGUCCCGUUUUGUAUGUACCUUAUGAAUAAGGAUCGGCUAACUCGGUGCAAGCAGCCGCGGUAAUACGGAGGAUCCGAGCGUUAUCCGGAUUUAUUGGGUUUAAAGGGUGCGUAGGCGGCUUGUUAAGUUAGCGGUGAAAGUCGUGGGCUCAACCAUAAAAUUGCGGUUGAAACUGGGAGGCUUGAGUAUGUUUGAGGCAGGCGGAAUGCGUGGGGUAGCGGGGAAAUGCUUAGAUAUCACGCAGAACCCCGAUUGCGAAGGCAGCCUGCCAGGCCAUGACUGACGCUGAUGCACGAAAGCGUGGGGAUCAAACAGGAUUAGAUACCCGAGUAGUC
rnacentral:rRNA from 1 species